AUGAGUGUGUCAGGGUCGGAGAGCCGGGCCUCGGCCAACAAGCCCAAGUAUUCUAAAUUCACGCAGCAGGAGCUCCCGGCAUGCAAGCCGUUGCUAACUCCCGGAAUCGUCAUCGGCGCCUUCUCGCUCAUCGGCAUCAUCUUCGUCCCGAUAGGGCUCGCGUCCCUGUCAGCGUCGCAGGAGAUUGUUGAAUUGAUAGAUCGAUACGAUGAGGAGUGUGUCACCGCCAGCGACAAGAUCGGGUUCAUCCAGGACUCCAAGGCCAAUAAGGCGUGCACCAGAAAGAUCACGGUGCCCAAGCCGAUGAAAGGCCCCAUACACGUCUACUACCAGCUGGAGAACUUCUACCAGAACCACCGGCGGUACGUCAAGAGCCGGAGCGACCAGCAGCUGCGCGACAAGGACUACAAGGACCCCCAGGCGGUGAUCAAGGCCUGCGACCAGGAGGCCACCACCGGCGACGGCUCCCUCAUCGUGCCCUGCGGCCUCAUCGCCUGGAGCCUCUUCAACGACACCUACGCCUUCUCCGUCAACAAGAAGUCGGUGACGGUGAACAAGAAGGACAUCGCCUGGGCCAGCGACAAGAACAGCAAGUUUGGCAGCAACGUCUUCCCCGUCAACUUCCAGAAGGGCGGCCUCAUCGGCGGCGGCAACCUCAACGACAAGCUACCUCUGAGCGAGCAGGAAGACCUGAUCGUGUGGAUGCGGACGGCGGCGCUGCCGACGUUCAGGAAGCUGUACGGGCGGAUUGAGACGGACAUCAUGGCGAGCGACGAGAUCACGGUGGUGAUCCAGAACAACUACAACACGUACAGCUUCGGGGGCACCAAGGCGGUGGUGCUGUCGACGGCAUCGUGGAUCGGCGGCAAGAACAACUUCAUCGGCGUCGCCUACGUGGCCGUCGGCGGCAUCUGCCUCCUCCUCGCCAUGGGCUUCGCCGUCCUCUACGUCGUCAAGCCAAGGGCCCUCGGAGACCCGGCGUACCUGUCGUGGAACAAGGAGGCCGCCGAGUACUCGCACUGA
rnacentral:rRNA from 1 species